UACGUAGGUGGCGGAGCGUUGUCCGGAAUUACUGGGUGUAAAGCGCGUGUAGGCGGGAGGCCAAGUCUGUGGUGAAAUCGCUCGGCUUAACUGGGCGGGGUCCAUGGAAACUGGUCACCUGGAGGUCGGUAGAGGCAAGUGGAAUUCCCGGUGUAGUGGUGAAAUGCGUAGAUAUCAGGAGGAACACCUGUGGUGUAGACGGCUUUCUGGACCAUAGCUGACGCUGAGACACGAAAGCGUGGGUAGCAAACAGG
rnacentral:rRNA from 1 species